GGAGGGAGCCGUCUAAGGUGGGAUUGGCGAUUGGGACUAAGUCGUAACAAGGUAGCCGUACCGGAAGGUGCGGCUGGAUCACCUCCUUUCUAAGGAG
rnacentral:rRNA from 1 species